rnacentral:rRNA from 1 species
CUUAAGCAUAUCAAUAAGCGGAGGAAAAGAAACCAACAGGGAUUCCCCUAGUAACGGCGAGUGAAGCGGGAACAGCUCAAAUUUGAAAUCUGGCCUUCGGGUCCGAGUUGUAAUUUGCAGAGGAUGCUUUUGGUGCGGUGCCUUCCGAGUUCCCUGGAACGGGACGCCUUAGAGGGUGAGAGCCCCGUACGGUUGGCCACCAAGCCUUUGUAAAGCUCCUUCGACGAGUCGAGUAGUUUGGGAAUGCUGCUCAAAAUGGGAGGUAUAUUUCUUCUAAAGCUAAAUACUGGCCAGAGACCGAUAGCGCACAAGUAGAGUGAUCGAAAGAUGAAAAGCACUUUGAAAAGAGGGUUAAAUAGCACGUGAAAUUGUUGAAAGGGAAGGGUUUAUGACCAGACCUUUUCUAGGGGGAUCAUCCGGUGUUCUCACCGGUGCACUUCCCCUAGUUGAGGCCAGCAUCGGUUUCUGUAGGGGGAUAAAAGCUUCGGGAAUGUGGCUCCUUCGGGAGUGUUAUAGCCCGUUGCAUAAUACCCUUACGGGGACCGAGGUCCGCGCUUCGGCUAGGAUGCUGGCGUAAUGGUUAUUAACCACCCGUCUUGAAACACGGACCAAGGAGUCGAACAUUUGUGCGAGUGUUUGGGUGUUAAACCCUCACGCGUAAUGAAAGUGAACGGAGGUGAGAGCCCUUCGGGGUGCAUCAUCGACCGAUCCUGAUGUCUUCGGAUGGAUUUGAGUAAGAGCAUAACUGUUCGGACCCGAAAGAUGGUGAACUAUGCGUGGAUAGGGUGAAGCCAGAGGAAACUCUGGUGGAGGCUCGCAGCGGUUCUGACGUGCAAAUCGAUCGUCAAAUCUGCGCAUGGGGGCGAAAGACUAAUCGAACCAUU